GGAGUUUGGGCCGUGUCUCAGUCCCAAUGUGGCCGUUCACCCUCUCAGGCCGGCUACUGAUCGUCGCCUUGGUGGGCCGUUACCUCACCAACUAGCUAAUCAGACGCGGGUCCAUCUUAUCCCGAUAAAUCUUUUCACACUGUAUCAUGCGAUACCGUGCGCUUAUGCGGUAUUAGCAGUAAUUUCUCACUGUUAUCCCCCUGGAUAAGGCAGGUUACCCACGCGUUACUCACCCGUCCGCCACUAAAACUUAUAUCACUAGGUUUCAAUAAGUUUCCGUUCGACUUGCAUGUGUUAAGCACGCCGCCAGCGUUCAUC
rnacentral:rRNA from 1 species